GUGCUCGAGUGGCGAACGGGUGAGUAACACGUGAGUAACCUGCCCUUGACUUUGGGAUAACUUCAGGAAACUGGGGCUAAUACCGAUAGGAGCUCCUGCUGCAUGGUGGGGGUUGGAAAGUUUCGGCGGUUGGGGAUGGACUCGCGGCUUAUCAGCUUGUUGGUGGGGUAGUGGCUUACCAAGGCUUUGACGGGUAGCCGGCCUGAGAGGGUGACCGGCCACAUUGGGACUGAGAUACGGCCCAG
rnacentral:rRNA from 1 species